rnacentral:rRNA from 1 species
AUUGAACGCUGGCGGCAGGCUUAACACAUGCAAGUCGAACGAGUGGCGGACGGGUGAGUAAUGCUUGGGAACCUGGCUUAUGGAGGGGGAUAACUACGGGAAACUGUAGCUAAUACCGCGUACCAUUGGAUGAGCCCAAGUGGGAUUAGGUAGUUGGUGAGGUAAAGGCUCACCAAGCCAACGAUCUCUAGCUGGUCUGAGAGGAUGACCAGCCACACUGGGACUGAGACACGGCCCAGACUCCUACGGGAGGCAGCAGUGGGGAAGAUUGCGCAAUGGGGGCAACCUGACGCAGCCAUGCCGCGUGAAUGAUGAAGGCCUUCGGGUUGUAAAGUUCUUUCGGUAGAGAAGCGUUAACUGAAGAAUAAGCACCGGCUAACUCCGUGCCAGCAGCCGCGGUAAUUC